rnacentral:rRNA from 1 species
AGCGAACGCUGGCGGCAGGCUUAACACAUGCAAGUCGAGCGGGCACUUCGGUGUCAGCGGCAGACGGGUGAGUAACACGUGGGAACGUACCCUUCGGUUCGGAAUAACGCUGGGAAACUAGCGCUAAUACCGGAUACGCCCUUUUGGGGAAAGGUUUACUGCCGAAGGAUCGGCCCGCGUCUGAUUAGCUAGUUGGUGGGGUAAUGGCCUACCAAGGCGACGAUCAGUAGCUGGUCUAAGAGGAUGAUCAGCCACACUGGGACUGAGACACGGCCCAGACUCCUACGGGAGGCAGCAGUGGGGAAUAUUGGACAAUGGGCGCAAGCCUGAUCCAGCCAUGCCGCGUGAGUGAUGAAGGCCUUAGGGUUGUAAAGCUCUUUUGUCCGGGACGAUAAUGACGGUACCGGAAGAAUAAGCCCCGGCUAACUUCGUG